rnacentral:rRNA from 1 species
UGGGGAAUAUUGGACAAUGGGCGAAAGCCUGAUCCAGCCAUGCCGCGUGUGUGAAGAAGGUCUUCGGAUUGUAAAGCACUUUAAGUUGGGAGGAAGGGCAUUAACCUAAUACGUUAGUGUUUUGACGUUACCGACAGAAUAAGCACCGGCUAACUCUGUGCCAGCAGCCGCGGUAAUAAAGAGGGUGCAGGCGUUAAUCGGAAUUACUGGGCGUAAAGCGCGCGUAGGUGGUUUGUUAAGUUGGAUGUGAAAUCCCCGGGCUCAACCUGGGAACUGCAUUCAAAACUGACUGACUAGAGUAUGGUAGAGGGUGGUGGAAUUUCCUGUGUAGCGGUGAAAUGCGUAGAUAUAGGAAGGAACACCAGUGGCGAAGGCGACCACCUGGACUAAUACUGACACUGAGGUGCGAAAGCGUGGGGAGCAAACA